GUGGGACACUGUGAUGGCGCGACACCUGGCUUUUCUGGAUCUUAUCUCCUGUACUUCCUAUAUAAGCGCUCUAUAGGGGAUAAAAUUGUGUUUUUUUUAAAUCAUAUGUCGACUACUAUAUGUUUUAUGGCUAGUCAUUAGGGAUAUUUCUCCUUCAUUUUUUAUUUUAUUAAGGCGUCUGUCACUGAAGCUAUAUUUACGCGUGUAAUUUGUUGUUAUUUUUAAAAAGUGUAUAUUUGUGUUUUAACAUGCUAGUUAAUUACAGCAGCAGCUCGGAAGAUGAAAAUGAAGUCGUUUCUACUAACAGAAAGCGCCGAAGACGAAAUAAUAGUGACAAAGAUGUGAGUCCAGGUGGGAGGAAAAUGCAAGGAAAUGUGACACAGGAAACCAGGGUUUCAGCUUCAGAGAAGAAUGAAGGUUCAUGUCAGGACUCUGUGGCUCGACUUCCUCUGCCUGCCUCCGUGAUGGAGAUGUUCAGAGACUCAGAAGAGCAGCACAUAGAUGACAGAUCUCAACAUGGAGGACGACUCAGGUCUUUCCAACACGAGAGAGGCAACUGGGCUACUUAUGUCUAUCUACCAUAUGAUCCUGAAGACGUGUUCCUGGAGUUGCUGGAUGAGCUGCGGGUUUGUGCAGCAGCUCGUGGCGUCACCUUGACCCGGGCAGAAGAGUUUCACAUCAGCCUCUCUCAGACGGUGGUCCUGCGACACCACUGGAUUCAGCCAUUUGUUCAGUCGCUGCGUUCUGCACUGGCAACAUGCAGGGGGUUUGUAUGUUUGGCAGAUAAACUGAAGGUGUACUCCAAUCAAGAAAAAACAAGGACUUUUCUCGGUAUGGAAAUCUCUACAGGUCACACGCAGCUUCUCGAGGUUGUGAAAAGUGUGGACGAAGUCAUGGAAGAGUUCAACCUAAGCACUUUCUAUGAGGAUCCUUCGUUUCACUUGACUCUGGCCUGGUGUGUUGGUGACGUGACUGAGAAACUGCAGCAUGCGUGUUUAUCAGAGUUGCAGUGUCUCAUGGACAGCCACGAAGAUGGACCUUUCCAGAUAAGGCUGAACUGCAAGGAGCUACGCUGUAAAACUGGGAAUAAAUUCUUUCUGUUCCCACUGCAAUGAUGGAUGGUAGUUCGGAGGAUUUUAUAGUAAUGCCUUCAGACUCUCCAGACAAUCAGAGUAGCCUUCCUGAAGUUUGUUAGGAAGUUGGGGUCAGAGUACAGAGUCAGCCAUGAUACGGUGUUCCUGGAGCAGAGAUGUUUAAGAGCCUUGCUCAAGGGCCCAACUGUGGCAGCUUGGCGGUUCAAACCUCAGCACUGCCAGGUUUUUGCUGGCUAUAGAAAAUAUAUUAAAGCACCUGAUUUCAAUAUAUUUUAUAUUUCAGUGUCACUGGGUGAAAAGUCUGAAUGAUUCAGCUUGGGAUCGAUAUUUCAUGGAUGAUCACACACGGAGACUAAAAACUAUAACUUCUCAAAAACAGUAUAUGCACAAGUCUUACCUGGAUACUGUAGAUUUGUACCCAAGACCUGCUACUGUAAUCAUAAAGACUGUCCUGUGCUCAUCCGAGGAAUAUUAUUCCUAAUCUGCUCACACUGAACAUGUUUUCAAUACAGACACUAAUUCUCAAUUGAUUUUCUUCUUCUACAUCUCUAUACUGUAAUGAUUUAUAAUCCCACUAUCCCAUGUCACACAGAAGAGACAGUCUGGUUCCUCUUCAGGUAUCUUCAUGUCAUCUCAGGAAGAUCUUCCUUGCCACUGUCAUGUCUGGCUUGAUUUCUAUAAAGCUCCUUUGUGACAUUGACAACGUUUACAUGCUCAUCAAUAUUUCUAUAUUAAUCAGAAUUUGGCAAUAUUCGAAUUAGUAUUGAUUUAAGACAAUAGCCUGAUUCCUCAAAUUCUGAUUCCCUCCCCUGGAAUAUACCAGUUUUAAGGGGAAAUGUGUUACAUGUAAACACCUUAUUCAGAAAAUCCACUGAAAGGAGAUGAAAGUUGCAUGAAAGGUGAAAUGAAAGGUGCAUGCUCAGUCCACAAGGAAUUGUGGGUAGCAACGGCAGCAUCUUGAAUCUCCUGGGAAAUAACAGCAGGAAAGGAAAAGCGCAGGUGUAGCUUGGUAUACUUACAACAACCGUGUAUACAGGAAUAUUCCUAUGCCUGUACGCAUAUAAACAUCGUAUUUAGAAUAUGGCAGCAACCCAAAUAUAGACCUUAAACAGAAUUUGAUGUGCAUGUAAACGUAACCCAUGUCUAUUGAACACUUUUCCAAUCUGUGCAUCAGACAGAAGCUGGGACUCGAUCAAAACCGAAUCUAUACAUGGGUUUCUGGGUCAGUAAAGUCUGAUAUCACAUGCUUCUUUUUUAUUACUAGUGUACUACAAUUGUAUGUAUGAUGACUUCAUCUGUGUCUCUGUGCAUCAGUCUCGGAGAAGGAGGCAUUUAUUCUGUAACUGUCAGUCUCAGGGAUUGAGGCAUGACAUUAAAUCAGCUCUAAAUCAUAUCAUAUCGAAUCACUGGCUGCUUAACAUGCAUCACUCAUACAUCAGUCAUCAUGUGCUGAAAUGUUCAUAUCAGUAUGUGAUUUGCUGCAAUAAACAGACAUCGUUAUCAGUUUCAAACUAACUUUAGAGGAACUGGUUCUUUCCUGUACUGUUAACAGUGAAAACCUCGCUUUUCGCAACAUCCGACACAAUGAAACUGAGGCAAAGAUUUGUUUCUGCUUAUAAAUGGCAGGUUCAGCUAUGCUGUAUUACACCAACAACACUAAUAACAACUGCAUCAACUAAACUAAAACACAGAUGAAAUGCAGGCCGUUAUUUUUACGGACAAGC